AGAGUUUGAUCCUGGCUCAGAACGAACGCUGGCGGCAGGCUUAACACAUGCAAGUCGAGCGCCCCGCAAGGGGAGCGGCAGACGGGUGAGUAACGCGUGGGAACAUACCCUUUGGUUCGGAAUAACUCAGGGAAACUUGAGCUAAUACCGGAUACGUCCGUAAGGAGAAAGAUUUAUCGCCAAAGGAUUGACCCGCGUCCGAUUAGCUAGUUGGUGAGGUAACGGCUCACCAAGGCUACGAUCGGUAGCUGGUCUGAGAGGAUGAUCAGCCACAUUGGGACUGAGACACGGCCCAAACUCCUACGGGAGGCAGCAGUGGGAAUAUUGGACAAUGGGCGCAAGCCUGAUCCAGCCAUGCCGCGUGAGUGAUGAAGGCCUUAGGGUUGUAAAGCUCUUUUGUCCGGGAAGAUAAUGACUGUACCGGAAGAAUAAGCCCCGGCUAACUUCGUG
rnacentral:rRNA from 1 species